AAUCUUAUAUUCAAAAUAUAUGAUAUUAAAUUGCAAAUUUAAAGGUAUUGAUUAUUUAAUUAAGGUUU
rnacentral:tRNA from 1 species